UACGAGGGGGGCAAGCGUUGUUCGGAAUUACUGGGCGUAAAGGGCGCGUAGGCGGAUAUUUAAGUUAGAGGUGAAAGCCCAGGGCUCAACCCUGGAACAGCCUUUAAUACUGGAUAUCUUGAGUUCGGGAGAGGUGAGUGGAACUCCGAGUGUAGAGGUGAAAUUCGUAGAUAUUCGGAAGAACACCAGUGGCGAAGGCGACUCACUGGCCCGAUACUGACGCUGAGGCGCGAAAGCGUGGGGAGCAAACAGG
rnacentral:rRNA from 1 species